ACAGGAUGCUUAUACGGCGAGUGAAGCGGCAAAGCUCAAAUUUGAAAUCGGCCACCAGGUCGAGUUGUAAUUUGUAGAUUGUAUCUUGAGAGCGGAUUAAAGUCUGUUGGAACACAGCGCCUUAGAGGGUGACAGCCCCGUAAAAUCUAUUCUCAUUGUAAGAUACUUUCGAAGAGUCGAGUUGUUUGGGAAUGCAGCUCUAAGUGGGAGGUAAAUUCCUUCUAAAGCUAAAUAUUGACGAGAGACCGAUAGCGAACAAGUACUGUGAAGGAAAGAUGAAAAGCACUUUGAAAAGAGAGUGAAAAAGUACGUGAAAUUGUUAAAAGGGAAGGGUAUUGAAUCAGACUUGGUGCUGUUGUUCAACCAUGUUUCGGCAUGGUGUACUCAGCAGUACUAGGCCAAGGUGGGGUGUUUGGGAGUGAAAAAGAAGUAGGAACGUAACUCUUCGGAGUGUUAUAGCCUACUUUCAUAGCUCCUCAGGCGCCUCAGGACUGCGCUUCGGCAAGGACCUUGGCAUAAUGAUUCUAUACCGCCCGUCUUGAAACACGGG
rnacentral:rRNA from 1 species